rnacentral:rRNA from 1 species
CGGACGGGUGAGUAAUGUCUGGGAAACUGCCUGAUGGAGGGGGAUAACUACUGGAAACGGUAGCUAAUACCGCAUAACGUCGCAAGACCAAAGAGGGGGACCUUCGGGCCUCUUGCCAUCGGAUGUGCCCAGAUGGGAUUAGCUAGUAGGUGGGGUAACGGCUCACCUAGGCGACGAUCCCAGCUGGUCUGAGAGGAUGACCAGCCACACUGGAACUGAGACACGGUCCAG